rnacentral:lncRNA from 1 species
AAUGAAUGCAAGGAUAAAAGAAAUGCACUAUGCAAAUAUCUGGCUACAAAAGUUGUUCUGUCUUGCAGAAAGUCAGUAAAGAGAGAGACGGACAUCAUUGAAGUAUCCCAGAAACUCCAUACAGAUAAAAGUCCCUCGUUUUAUACAUGAGCAUACCUUCUUCAGGUCCUGAGACCUGAGCUGAGUAUUACAUCAUCCGCUAGAGAAAUGAAGGAGUCAUUUAGUGUCGUCACCCAGCAGUUAGUGCCAUUAUGUCUAAUUACAGAUCAGAGGAAAUAUGUAGCUGAAGAAAGUAGAGAAGAGAAUGAGACAAGAGAAGAAUCCUUCCGUUGCAGCGAGCAUUGAUGAUUGAAAGCCCAUAAAGCUUCUAUUGACUCAGAGUAUAAGGGGCUUGAUUUAUCUCAACACUUGGCAGGAAAAUAAAAACAAGAAUAAUACAGGUGUGUCCUUUGCUGUAAAUAAUACAGAUUUACUCUCUGCAAAUUUCAUAACCUUAAUGAUGCUGGAAACGUACUGACGCAAGUACGUCAGGCAACACUUGAUGCUGGCAAUCAAUUGUUUACGGGGUUGACAUUUUCUAACAUCUGUUUUAAGACUGUGAAGUUUUAAGCUGCAAUUUUUCAUUGCCCAUACUGACACUUUCACCAAGCUUUCCUUAGCGAAGCUGGUACCUUGACUUGUUAAUUCAAGAAGUGCAGCUAGAUCUUCAGAGUUUCUGAGGACUGUACAAACAGUAAUGAAUAAAACCGUAUCCUCCAUCUUCCUUCAAAAAAUUACCUGUUGUGAGAAGUCUAACUCUCAGAAUUUGGGUCAAAAUUUUGCUUUGUAAUUUAUUUUUAUGAGUGCUGCCAAGUCAGGAUAUUGUUUAUUUAAAAAGAAAAAAAAAAACUGGGCCGUUUUGUGUGCGUAAAUAUAGUUUGAGAUUUGGUUGGUUCAAGAUGAGAAAAU